rnacentral:rRNA from 1 species
GUGGGGAAUCUUAGACAAUGGGCGCAAGCCUGAUCUAGCCAUGCCGCGUGAGUGAUGAAGGCCCUAGGGUUGUAAAGCUCUUUCAGCUGGGAAGAUAAUGACGGUACCAGCAGAAGAAGCCCCGGCUAACUCCGUGCCAGCAGCCGCGGUAAUACGGAGGGGGCUAGCGUUGUUCGGAAUUACUGGGCGUAAAGCGCGCGUAGGCGGACUGAAAAGUUGGGGGUGAAAUCCCGGGGCUCAACCUCGGAACUGCCUUCAAAACUAUCAGUCUGGAGUUCGAGAGAGGUGAGUGGAAUUCCGAGUGUAGAGGUGAAAUUCGUAGAUAUUCGGAGGAACACCAGUGGCGAAGGCGGCUCACUGGCUCGAUACUGACGCUGAGGUGCGAAAGCGUGGGGAGCAAACAGGAUUAGAUACCCUAGUAGUCC